rnacentral:tRNA from 1 species
GUUAAAUAUCCUUAGGCCAUGAUCCUGUCACCNUAGGUCGAUCGGUACCUCAGAUUAAAUUGUCAAAAUGAUCAGAUUAUUUGCUUCUUUUUCUAUAUUUAAUUUCAGUUCCUAAACUUUGUCUAGGUCACACCUCGCAAGGGUUCCUCCUGGGCCAUUAGCUCAGGUGGUUAGAGCGCACCCCUGAUAAGGGUGAGGUCCCUGGUUCAAGUCCAGGAUGGCCCAUUCUCGACUCUGGGGGUUUAGCUCAGUUGGUAGAGCGCCUGCUUUGCAAGCAGGAUGUCAGCGGUUCGAGUCCGCUAACCUCCACUGACCUACCUCCUACAGCGACCCAAAUUAGAGGACCAUUGUGUGAUGUGAUUUAGAAAAUUCCGCUGAUAGAACCCAGCAUCCUUUCAUCCCUAACUUAAAAUAGUAAGGUUGUAAGGACGCUGGGCUCACUGCAAUUGUUCAAAUUGCAAGUAAGUUCAGUAGAACCUUGACAACUGCAUAGGUGAGUCUGGAAAGAAUAAAGCAUCUCAUGGAUGCAUUUCAUUCCUAGCUAAUUAAAGAUGUUACUGAAAGGUAUUCAACUUUAAUUACUAAUUAAUGGAAUAUGUAUUCUUGAGUCAAGAGCCGAGACUCUAUAUCGUACUUUAUUGUCUUUUAUAGAUCUUUAGAGUUUGAUUUGUUAUUCAAACUGAUAUCAAUACUCAAGCUUUCAGUUAAUUCUGAUUUGAAUAUUUUAAUAUCAAGUGAAUGACUUAGAAAUACGUGUUCAACCACGUUUAGCGAUGUAGAGAUUAAUUGGUCAAGCUACAA